rnacentral:tRNA from 1 species
GGCCGCUUAGUCAAACGGUUAAGACGUCGCCCUCUCACGGCGAAGAUAGGAGUUCGAUUCUCCUAGUGGUCACCA